rnacentral:miRNA from 1 species
UAGCCUACAAUAAGUGUGUGA